GAUCGGUAGCCGGCCUGAGAGGGCACACGGCCACACUGGCACUGAAACACGGGCCAGACUCCUACGGGAGGCAGCAGUGGGGAAUCUUGCACAAUGGGGGAAACCCUGAUGCAGCGACGCCGCGUGAGCGAUGAAGCCCUUCGGGGUGUAAAGCUCUUUCGGCAGGGAAGAUGGUGACGGUACCUGCAGAAGCAGCUGCGGCUAACUACGUGCCAGCAGCCGCGGUAAUACGUAGGCAGCAAGCGUUGUUCGGAGUUACUGGGCGUAAAGGGUGUGUAGGCGGUUGUUUAAGUUUGGUGUGAAAUCUCCCGGCUCAACUGGGAGGGUGCGCCGAAUACUGAAUGACUAGAGUGCGGGAGAGGAAAGUGGAAUUCCUGGUGUAGCGGUGAAAUGCGUAGAUAUCAGGAGGAACACCGGUGGUGUAGACGGCUUUCUGGACCGUAACUGACGCUGAGACACGAAAGCGUGGGUAGCAAACAGGAUUAGAUACCCUGGUAGUCCACGCCCUAAACGAUGCAUAUUUGGUGUGGGCAGUUCAUUCUGUCUGUGCCGGAGCUAACGCGUUAAAUAUGCCGCCUGGGGAGUACAGUCGCAAGGCUG
rnacentral:rRNA from 1 species